rnacentral:rRNA from 1 species
CCUACGGGAGACAGCAGUGAGGAAUAUUGGUCAAUGGGCGCGAGUCUGAACCAGCGAAGUAGCGUGAAGGAUGACUGCCCUACGGGUUGUAAACUUCUUUUAUAAAGGAAUAAAGUGAGGCACGUGUGCCUUUUGGUCUGUACUUUAUGAUUAAGGAUCGGCUAACUCCGUGACAGCAGCCGCGGUAAUACGGAGGAUCCGAGCGUUAUCCGGAUUUAAUGGGUUGAAAGGGAGCGUAGAUGGGUUGUUAAGUCAGUUGUGAAAGUUUGCGGCUCAACCGUAAAAUUGCAAUUGAUACUGGCAGUCUUGAGUACAGUUGAGGUAGGCGGAAUUCGUGGUGUAGCGGUGAAAUGCUUAGAUAUCACGAAGAACUCCGAUUGCGAAGGCAGCUUACUAAGCUGCCACUGACAUUGAUGCUCGAAAGUGUGGGUAUCAAACAGGAUUAGAUACCCGGGUAGUC